UGCAAAAUGUGCAUGUCACUAGGCUUACGU
rnacentral:piRNA from 1 species